UACGGGGGGGGGCAAGCGUUGUUCGGAAUUGCUGGGCGUAAAGGGCUCGUAGGUGGCCAACUAAGUCAGACGUGAAAUCCCUCGGCUUAACCGGGGAACUGCGUCUGAUACUGGAUGGCUUGAGAUUGGGAGAGGGAUGCGGAAUUCCAGGUGUAGCGGUGAAAUGCGUAGAUAUCUGGAGGAACACCGGUGGCGAAGGCGGCAUCCUGGACCAACACUGACACUGAGGAGCGAAAGCCAGGGGAGCAAACGGG
rnacentral:rRNA from 1 species